GCCGUUGUAGCUCAGAUGGUAGAGCAGCUCCAUGGUAAGGAGCAGGUCGCCGGUUCGAUCCCGGCCAACGGCUCCA
rnacentral:tRNA from 1 species